ensembl:misc_RNA Metazoa_SRP Metazoan signal recognition particle RNA
GCCGGGCAUGGUGGUGCAUGCCUGUAAUCCCAGCUACUUGGGAGGCUGAGUCAGGAGAAUCGCUUGAACCUGGGAGGUGGAGGUUGCAGUGAGCCAAGUGCACAUCAUUGCACUCCAACCUGGGUAACAAAGCGAGACUCCGUCUCGA